ensembl:processed_transcript A430108G06Rik RIKEN cDNA A430108G06 gene
CGCGUCCAUCUCCAUGGACGCUAGACUGGGGCAACGCCUGCGGGGUGCUGCCAUCGCUCUGCUCUGUAAAGCUGGUUCAUGUUGAGGCCACCAGGACAUCUGACCCGCUCAGACUGCCAGGAGCUUCCGGCGCUGGCAGUGUCCCAAAUAUUAAAAACAACAGUGGACAAUAGCGUACCAGAUUCUGAUGACUCCUUAUUUUAUGAGGAAUAUCAGGGGUUGGGUUCUGUUUAUCUCUACUAUCUGUCUGCACCAAAAGUUUGAAUGAACAGGACCCUGAUCCAGCCAUAUGAGGAGAGAGCGGAGACCAAGGAGACCAACAGGCCAGGAAGAUGUCUCUAUUCUAAAUGAGUCUUGAAGUGGAAAGUUCUGGUUUCCUUGGAAAGUUAUGCCAAGCAAUGUUUUGCUGGGGCACAAAGGUGAAAGGAUGUCUUGCUAAAGCAAACACGUGAAAGACUGUUUUCCUGAAGCAGACACAGGUGAAAGGGUGUUUGGAUAGAGCAAACUCAUGAAAGGACCUGUGAUGAAGGAGUAGAAACAUGACCCCGCUGACAGUGGGAGACGAGCACAGAGCACUGGUUUGAUUUGCUCCACCUCAAUAUUCUUCUCUAACAACAUUCAUGUAUUGGUUCGCCUUACAUUGAGCUCAACUCUGAUACUGAGAGAAACUCAACAAAGAAACUGCUCAUAAGGUUCCUAUGGUAGCUUGCUGCGUCUAAGGCCUCUCCUCAGGCCAGUUGACAAGCCUGGCAACUUCUCCAGGAUUGAACUACAGUUGCUGGUUCGUGAUUGGUGUCUGCCUGCCAAGAGGACUGGAAUGUAGUUGUUGGUUCAUGGUUGGUGUCUGCCUGCCUAGAGGACUGGUCUGAAGCUGCUGAGUUGUAUUUGGUAUUUGCUAUGGGACUGAUCUGCUGACCAAGAAGAUCAAGCUCACCUCCAAAGAACUAUCGUUGAACAGGUCCACUUCCCUCCAUCCUAAUAACGUGUCUCUUCCACUCCCUCUGCUGAGUGGUAGGCUAGAGGAGAGGUUGAACCCUUCUUAAAAGUAGGUUGCAAAAAAUUUAUGCUACAGAAUUCAUGUUCCUAGUUAUGCCUAUUUUACCUUGUAAGAUCCUGCAUUUGAAUGUAUGUUACAUUACAUCAUACUAUACUACACAGAGCUAUAUAGGCCACCACGAGCCUCUUGAGGCUAGACACUUUAAGAUGGUUUUUCCUCUUUGUGUUACUUCUCUGAGAUAGUAUUUGAAUGUUUGCUGAAAGACUGAAAUGAAUCCGUUUCGAGUAUAUUGCUUUAUGUUCAAAUGCCUUCCACUGAUGUAAAGGUUUUUGGUUGUGUAAAACAAUCAAAUUAUUAAUACU